UUCAAGUGUAUUUUAGGGUUUUUAAAGAAUAAUAGGGACAAUUUGGUCUUUGCAUAACAUUGUGGGGUGCAGGAAGAAAUUUGUAGGGGUGCAGGAAGAAACUGCCCAGUUCCUUUACUUUUCUACACAUUUUAAUCUCUUGUGCGAACAUUUUUGUUUGGCAUCAUGUCUUAUUUUUUCUACAUUACUCUGAGAUUAUGCCAUUUUCGGUGCAUGUUUUGACAUUUUACAAAAUUUCGUAAAAUUAACAAUUAACAUUGUUUUAGGAAGAUAUUCACAUAUAGUAUCUUGCUUUUAAAAUUAUAUUAAAUUUCUCGUUUAACUUAUUUCAAAAUUAAUUUAAUUUAAAAUCAAUUUUCAUCCAAAAACACACUUACAAUAUCAAGUGAGGUGAUUACACCUUGUUUAUUACAUCCUUUGGCUUGCAAAAGGGUGCUAGAGAUAUAAUGUUUGGAUGAUUAGUUGUAGUUAAUUGAGAUUAGUUCAAUCACUUGAUUAAUUAUUAGUUGAUUCACCUAUUGUAUCUCUAGUUCCUAAUAUUUGUAAACAUUUUCUUUAUUUAUCCCAUUAGAAAAUUCUUCAAUUUAGAUAAACAAAAUCCAUAAUUAUCAUCAAUUCUUUUAGUUAGCUUCUACUUUAUAUUCUUCUUGCUUAAAAGACAAUAAAAAGAAUGUUAUCCGUUCAAUUAUUGUAUAUUUCGAUUUUUAAUAAAAUUAUAAAUUAAGUUUUUUUUUUAUAAUAGAAUUAGCUAAACACUCAUUUAAUCUGUCCAUUUUAACCUACUAAACUAACAAAUAUUAACCCUCUAAUUUGCAUAAUAAACUCAUAACAAAUAGAACAACUUUUUCCUUCUUCUUCUUCAUCCAAUUCUAGUAGUAAUGCAAUUACCUAGUCAUUACAAAUUCUUCUCAAUAAUUUAAGUUCAUAAAUUUUCAAAUUUCUAGCCAUUUGAAGGAUGAUCAACCAAAGGGUUCAUAGCAAAUGAAAACAGGGGAAGCAGCAGUGUGAAGAUUUUGACAUCUAUGCUUUAAAAUUAGGAAGUAAAACAAAAUUCUCUUACAUGGCUUUCAUAUCAGAGGACAUUCAUCAAACACCUUUGUCUGGUUCUGUAAAAACUCAAAAUACAAGUUCUCUGACCUUCCUAACAAAACAUAACAACAACAAAUGAUAACUGUACCAAGUACUUGUUAGUUAACCAAAUGAAUAAAUAGCAAAAGUAACUCUUUGGUGCCAAAUUUGCACUAUGAUGGGUUGAAAUAACUAUGAGCUCCCUAAGAUAGACUAGAACAUGUUGUGAUGAGAAUCAAUGGCAGUAAUGGAUAAAUAACAGGGAGAAGAUUAAGAGAAAGAAGAAGAAAGUGGCUAACAUGAAAUUACUUUGUUGGUGUGACCACUGCCAUUGAUUCCCAUCACAACUUGCUCCAGCCAAGUAGGGGAUUCAGCAGAUUCAUGACUUGGCUCAAUCAGAUGAAAC
rnacentral:lncRNA from 1 species